rnacentral:rRNA from 1 species
GAGCACCUUCGUGGUGUGACUGCGUACCUUUUGUAUAAUGGGUCAGCGACUUAUAUUCAGUGGCAAGGUUAACCGUAUAGGGGAGCCGUAGCGAAAGCGAGUCUUAACUGGGCGCUCAGUCUCUGGAUAUAGACCCGAAACCGGGUGAUCUAGCCAUGGGCAGGUUGAAGGUUGAGUAACAUCAACUGGAGGACCGAACCGACUAAUGUUGAAAAAUUAGCGGAUGACUUGUGGCUAGGGGUGAAAGGCCAAUCAAAC